GGGGGGGGGGGGGGGGGGGGCUGGGGGAUGGGGGGCGGGCGGGCGGGCGGGGAGCUGGCUCCGCUGACGGUGGCGGCGGGCGGGUGGGUGGCACUUGGAUAGCCUCCCUCUCAGGCUGUGAUACCUUCGGGACACCGGGGCUACUCCCGGAUCCCAUGUUUCACCGCAUGGUUUCCCAGUGAAAGGCGGUCUUGCUGUCCCUUCUAGCUGCAUCCGCGCCUCAUUAGCUAGUUGGUAAGGUCCCGGCUUACCAAGGCAACGCUGCGUACCCGACCUGGGAGGGUGAUCGGCCACACUGGAACUGAGACACGGUCCAGACGCCUACGGGAGGCAGCAGUAGGGAAUCUUCCGCAAUGGGCGAAAGUCUGACGGAGCAACGCAGAGUGAGUGAAGAAGGUCUUCGGAUCGUAAAACUCUGUGAGUAGGGAAGAACAAAUGGGUAAGUAACUAUGCAAGUAUUGACGGUACCUAAUCAGAAAGCCACGGCUAACUACGUG
rnacentral:rRNA from 1 species